rnacentral:lncRNA from 1 species
AAACUGGGUCUACCGACAACCUCAAUGGCACCUAACAGUCCGGAACAGUCUACACUCUAUUGUAAAAAUAUACUCGGCACCCCAACACUAGUGUAAAUACAUUCUACACUAUCCUGGAUAUCCACCGCCUACAAACUGCGGCGAUACAAACAAACUACAAUUUUUAGAGCUAAAUCUGGUAGUUUCUGAAAAUGACGGUGCAGAAUCAUUAGUUUUCUCCUAAGUCAAAUCCAAGUAGAACAUGUAUAAUUAACUAACAAUUUAAGCUCCAAAUUCAGAUAUCGAAAGCAUGCAAAUCAAUGAGUUUGAGCUAAUUAAUACGAUAUACACGAACUAACUAUACAUGCUGACAUCAACUAGAUGUAGGAGGAAAUUCGCAAAAUUCGGUAAGCAUAACAUUAACCCACCUCUAGCGCAAAUCUGACACAGCUAGAAGUCAUGAAAUCGCUGGGAGAACUCGGUCGAGACCACCCCCCGAACCAGCAACAAUACUAUACCGAAGAUCAAAACACAAAAACAUCACAAUUUCCUCAAUACUAUCGAAUUUCAGCACUUAAGCUUAAAUUCAACCAAUUGCAAUGUCAAACUAACAUUCCAAUCUCAAAUCAGGUGAGAAAAGGUCCCAAAACAGCAGAGGGUGAUAGAGCAACACUUGCUGGUUAGAAAUUUAGCUUCCUCCAAAGAUCUAAACACAAAGCACCUAAAUUUCAUCAAUAUCCCAAAAAUUCAGCACUUAAGCUAGAUUUUUCUCAAUUUCAAUGUCAACUUACCUUCUAAUGCUCAAAUCAGAUGAGGAAAGGUUCCAAAACUAGUGGAGAAAGAUGGAACAUUAAUCUCAGGUCACAAUUCCAGCUCCCUCCAAGAAUUGAUCCAUGAAAACCCCAAAAAUCCCAUUUUCAGCUCAAAAACAACAGCAGCUUAGUAGAACAGCAAAUUGACUAUACUAACCUCAAUCAAUUUCUAUCAAAAUGGGUUCCAUGAAACUUCCAAGCUGUCUGCUAACCAACAAACUAAGUUUCGUAGCAAUACGACCUUUCUACGUCGAACACGAGCCAAAACGCCGAAGGUCACUGCAGGAAUUCUGCAGAAACUACAA